GACGAACGCUGGCGGCGUGCUUAACACAUGCAAGUCGAACGGGUCUGCCCUGUUUUUUGCGGGGUGGGUCAGUGGCGAACGGGUGAGUAACACGUGAGUAACCUGCCCCUCACUUCUGGAUAACCGCUUGAAAGGGUGGCUAAUACGGGGUGUUCUGGCUGUGCCGCAUGGUGUGGCUGGGAAAGAUUCACUUUUGUGGUGUUUUGGUGGGGGAUGGGCUCGCGGCCUAUCAGCUUGUUGGUGGGGUGAUGGCCUGCCAAGGCUGUGGCGGGUAGCCGGCCUGGGAGGGUGGGCGGUCACACUGGGACUGAGAUACGGCCCAGACUCCUGCGGGAGGCAGCAGUGGGGGGUAUUGCACAAGGGGCGGAAGCCUGAUGCAGCGACGUCGCGUGAGGGAUGGAGGCCUUCGGGUUGUGAACCUCUUUCGCCGGUGAAGAAGGUCCUGCUCUUUGUGGUGGGGUUGACGGUAGCCGGGUUAUGAAGCGCCGGCUAACUACGUG
rnacentral:rRNA from 1 species